rnacentral:lncRNA from 1 species
AGCAGGUGAUGCUCUUGGAAUCUUAAGGAAAUGGAGUCUGGCCUGUGGAGUUUUGGGGACAGAGCUAGGGGGAAAGGAAGCAUCCCAUGUUCAGUCCUUUUUUCAAAGGCCCUGAACACCAAGGUCUAAAGAUUCCACUGUAGACUGGGCGCGGUGGCUCACACUUGUAAUCCCAGCACUUUGGGAGGCUGAGGUGGGCGGAUCACCUGAGGCUGGGAGUUCGAGACCAGCCUGACCGAC